CGGCGGACGGGUGAGUAACGCGUGGGUAACCUGCCUCAUACAGGGGGAUAACAGUUGGAAACGGCUGCUAAUACCGCAUAAGCGCACAGUACCGCAUGGUACGGUGUGAAAAACUCCGGUGGUAUGAGAUGGAUCCGCGUCUGAUUAGGUAGUUGGUGGGGUAACGGCCUACCAAGCCGACGAUCAGUAGCCGACCUGAGAGGGUGACCGGCCACAUUGGGACUGAGACACGGCCCAA
rnacentral:rRNA from 1 species